GGCACUUGUGUGUUGUUUUCCUGGUAGCAGUGCUCUGCUCUUUUCUUUAGAUCCCAGCUGGCAUUUGCUUGAUGUGGACAAAGUGCAGAAAGUUUUCCAAGUCCAUUUCAGAACAUCUGAUGGCCUUAAAGGUUUGAUAGGACUUAUCAGUCAGUGACUUUGGAAGAGCAUUUCAAACCCACUGCCAAAUUAAUGGGUCAGCUAAAUAUGAAGUAUCGGAUCUGGACAGAUUGCAAGUUACAGCUGAAGGUGGUGUGACAACUUUAUUGCUGUUGCAUGGGUGACAUGUUGUCUUCGAUUGGGAAAUAGGCUGUGGACUUCCAGAAAGGGAACCUCAUCUUAAAAGACAACUGAAUGAAGAGACUGUGCAUAGUAUAGUCUGACAGAGUAUAUUCUCAAGAGUCUGCAGAGGAGGGCACUUAAGAUUCACACCUCAGACAUCCUGAGUACAGAAAUAAUUGCACAGGACCUUGUCCCAGGCAGGCAUGAAGCAAUGCAGCAAGGAAAGACCUUCUUGCUGAUCUAGGCUUAAGACUUUUUCCAAACAAUCACAAGCAGCUCAGCAGAUUUUUCAGACCUGAAGUCUAGAUAGGGACAUUUGCAAACUGCUUUGUUUUUCCCCUGUAUGUCAUCCUGGCUUACCUGAUGAAAAAAAUGUGGAUCAUCUGGAUUUCAGUUGUAUUCUGCCCACUCAAGGACCAAACUAGAAAUACUUGAUUAUGGUACUACUUGCAUCCAAUUUGUACUCAACCAAAGGAACUGUAUAAAUGAGCAGAACAAAACUGUCUUUAUACCUUUGCAAAAUGCUUUCUGCCUUGUCUACAUAAUCUUUAACUUGCUGAAGUCUCUAUGGUGAAAAAUAUUUUCUCAAUCUCUUUUUUUUUCCCUUAAAAAUACUUUGUAGCUCUUGCUAUGGCAUUCUGGGAAACUUCAGUAGAUGGUUUUGAGAACACAAAUAUUAUUUUAUUGGUGCCUCUGUGCUGGGUACUGUGGCUGCCCAGCCCCUGGCGCUGGCACUGGGACACAAUGCACUCAGAUGAGGGGCUGAGACAGGAGGAACUGUGCAAGGGCUGGUGCCAGGGAUGUCAGAG
rnacentral:lncRNA from 1 species